CAGAAGUUAUUAUAAUUGAAAAAGAUGUACCUCAGAGAGGGAUCCAGAGAACUCAGAGAACUCAUGACCUAGAGCAUGAGAAGUCCCCGGCCCCCAACCAGAACAUCAAAGGUUCUAUGAACUUCUUCAGGACCCCGCCAACCCCAGCCCAGUCAGAUAAGAAAGAACACAACAAAG